rnacentral:rRNA from 1 species
UACGGGGGGAGCAAGCGUUGUUCGGAUUUACUGGGCGUAAAGGGCGCGUAGGCGGCCACCGCAAGUCGACUGUGAAAUCUCCGGGCUUAACCCGGAAAGGUCAGCCGAUACUGCGGGGCUAGGAGUGCAGAAGGGGCAACCGGAAUUCUUGGUGUAGCGGUGAAAGUGCGUAGAUAUCAAGAGGAACACCGGAGGUGAAGACGGGGUUGCUGGGCUGACACUGACGCUGAGGCGCGAAAGCUAGGGUAGCAAACGGG